rnacentral:tRNA from 1 species
UAUCUUUUUUAAAUUUAAAUUUAAGCCUCUUACUUGGAAGGAAAGUGUACUGAUGUUAUACUAAAAAGAU